rnacentral:rRNA from 1 species
GACGAACGCUGGCGGCGUGCUUAACACAUGCAAGUCGAACGGAAAGGCCCUGCUUGCAGUGUACUCGCGUGGCGAACGGGUGAGUAACACGUGGGUGAUCUGCCCUGCACUACGGGAUAAGCCUGUGCAACUGGGUCUAAUACCGGCUAGGAGCUAUUUUUAAUGUGAUGGUUGGAAAGUUUUUUCGGUGUAGGAUGAGCUCGCGGGCUAUCUGCUUGUUGGUGGGGCAAUGGCCUACCAAGGCGGCGGCGGGUAGCCGGACUGCGUGGGUGGACGGCCACACUGAGACUGAGAGGAGGCAGAGACAGCGACGCGAGGGAGCUGUGGGGAAGACUGACGGAGGAGCGCAGGGCGGGUGAAGAGGGGCCGCGUAGGGGAUGACGGUGUUAGGGGUGUAGACCACUUUCGCAAGGAACGAAGCUCGUUGUGACGGUACCUAGAUAGGAAGCCCCGGCUAACUACGUG